rnacentral:rRNA from 1 species
AUUGAACGCUGGCGGCAGGCCUAACACAUGCAAGUCGAGCGGAUGAAGGGAGCUUGCUCCUGGAUUCAGCGGCGGACGGGUGAGUAAUGCCUAGGAAUCUGCCUGGUAGUGGGGGAUAGCGUCCGGAAACGGGCGCUAAUACCGCAUACGUCCCGAGGGAGAAAGUGGGGGAUCUUCGGACCUCACGCUAUCAGAUGAGCCUAGGUCGGAUUAGCUAGUUGGUGGGGUAAAGGCCUACCAAGGCGACGAUCCGUAACUGGUCUGAGAGGAUGAUCAGUCACACUGGAACUGAGACACGGUCCAGACUCCUACGGGAGGCAGCAGUGGGGAAUAUUGGACAAUGGGCGAAAGCCUGAUCCAGCCAUGCCGCGUGUGUGAAGAAGGUCUUCGGAUUGUAAAGCACUUUAAGUUGGGAGGAAGGGCAGUAAGUUAAUACCUUGCUGUUUUGACGUUACCAACAGAAUAAGCACCGGCUAACUUCGUG